ACUCAACGUUAAUUCUUUAAAAAGGGUGAGUUUAGAUUGUAAAAGCAAGCUGCCUUUGAGCAGAUCCUUGACCAGUUUGUUAGCCCUAAACCUGUUUUUCAGGAGUUU
rnacentral:sRNA from 1 species